rnacentral:rRNA from 1 species
GUGGGGAAUAUUGGACAAUGGGCGAAAGCCUGAUCCAGCCAUGCCGCGUGUGUGAAGAAGGUCUUCGGAUUGUAAAGCACUUUAAGUUGGGAGGAAGGGCAUUAACCUAAUACGUUAGUGUUUUGACGUUACCGACAGAAUAAGCACCGGCUAACUUCGUGCCAGCAGCCGCGGUAAUACGAAGGGUGCAAGCGUUAAUCGGAAUUACUGGGCGUAAAGCGCGCGUAGGUGGUUCAGUAAGUUGGAUGUGAAAUCCCCGGGCUCAACCUGGGAACUGCAUCCAAAACUGCUGAGCUAGAGUACGGUAGAGGGUGGUGGAAUUUCCUGUGUAGCGGUGAAAUGCGUAGAUAUAGGAAGGAACACCAGUGGCGAAGGCGACCACCUGGACUGAUACUGACACUGAGGUGCGAAAGCGUGGGGAGCAAACAGGAUUAGAAACCCUGGUAGUCC